rnacentral:rRNA from 1 species
UACGAAGGGGGCUAGCGUUGCUCGGAAUUACUGGGCGUAAAGCGUGCGCAGGCGGUUAUGCAAGACAGAUGUGAAAUCCCCGGGCUCAACCUGGGAACUGCAUUUGUGACUGCAUGGCUAGAGUACGGUAGAGGGGGAUGGAAUUCCGCGUGUAGCAGUGAAAUGCGUAGAUAUGCGGAGGAACACCGAUGGCGAAGGCAAUCCCCUGGACCUGUACUGACGCUCAUGCACGAAAGCGUGGGGAGCAAACAGG